rnacentral:rRNA from 1 species
UACGUAGGGUGCGAGCGUUAAUCGGAAUUACUGGGCGUAAAGCGUGCGCAGGCGGUCUGUUAAGACAGAUGUGAAAUCCCCGGGCUUAACCUGGGAACUGCGUUUGAAACUGGGGAGCUUGAGUGUGGAAGAGGGGGGGUGGAAUUCCAGGUGUAGCAGUGAAAUGCGUAGAGAUCUGGAGGAACACCGAUGGCGAAGGCAGCCCCCCUGGGCUAACACUGACGCUCAUGCACGAAAGCGUGGGGAGCAAACAGG